GAGACUUUGCCUCUUAUAAUAUCUGAAGUAAGCCACAGAUGUCAUUUCUUCUACAAAUAUAUUAGUUCACAUCACUAAAAGGUGAGCCUGAUCUCACCAAAAUACCAAGAUCUCACCAAAUGGAAUAUGAGCGGAAGUGAUGAAGCAGUGGGCCACAUUUUCUCCAUGGAUGCAAAGGAUCCUUGGUGAUAUCAGAGAUAUGAAAUGGAAGGUAGCUGGAUUUAUGGACCACUGCUUGGGGGAGAUCCAACUACAAUCAGGAAGACUUAUUUAGACCAAACCCAAGCAAGAAAUAAACUUCUAUUCUGAUGAACACUGAGACGUAGGCUCCUGUGUGUUAUAGGAGAUACUAACGACUUAAUGAAUAUAAAUAAAACAGUUACAAAGAGGUGGGGGAAAUUAGUAUCCUGGUUAGUAUUAGAAACUAAGAAAAUCUGAACAUAUUAGUUGUUUCAAACAAAGUAUUUAAUAAAAGUCAAUUAAAGAAUCAAAAUAAAGCAGUAAGAAGUUGAAAGUAUGUGAAGCUGAGAAUAGAAAUCAGAAAAAAUUUUUUAAAGAUGUUAUAUCAAAAUUGAUUGACAUGUAUUGUAAUGUAUUGAUUGAAAAGUGAUAAAAUUGACAAAUUUCUUGCAUGUGUGAGAAAAAGAAAACAGAAGAGGCUUAAAACAUUUUAGGAUAAAAAGGGAGAGCUAAAUGCAGAGGUAGUAGAUAUUGAAAAAAUAUUAACAUCAUAAUAGUAUUUAGUAACUAAAAAUGCUUAAAUGUUUUUAAAAGAAAAAAUAUCGGCCAGGCGCACUGGCUCACGCCUGUAAUCCCAGCACUUUGGGAGGCCGAGGCGGGCGGAUCACGAGGUGAAGAGAUCGAGACCAUCCUGGCC
rnacentral:lncRNA from 1 species